CACCAGCGCCUCGAGUGGGGAUCGCGAUUAUUGGGCCUAAAGCGUCCGUAGCAGGCUUUGUAGAUCCUUUGUGAAAUCGGCAGGCUUAACCUGUCGGCGGGCAGAGGAGACCGCAGAGCUUGAGACCGGGAGAGGUCAGAAGUAUUCUUAGGGUACCGGUAAAAUGGGUUAAUCCUGAGAGGACUACCAAUGGCGAAGGCAUCUGACCAGAACGGUUCUGACUGUGAGGGACGAAAGCUAGGGGAGCAAAACGG
rnacentral:rRNA from 1 species